CAGCCGCCGCGGGAAUACGUAUGUCACGAGCGUUAUCCGGAUUUAUUGGGCGUAAAGCGCGUCUAGGUGGUUAUAUAAGUCUGAUGUGAAAAUGCAGGGCUCAACUCUGUAUUGCGUUGGAAACUGUGUAACUAGAGUACUGGAGAGGUAAGCGGAACUACAAGUGUAGAGGUGAAAUUCGUAGAUAUUUGUAGGAAUGCCGAUGGGGAAGCCAGCUUACUGGACAGACACUGACGCUAAAGCGCGAAAGCGUGGGUAGCAAACAGGAUUAGAUACCCCGGUAGUCCCUGUCUCUUAUACA
rnacentral:rRNA from 1 species